CUAGGAAUCUUGGGAAUGGGCGAAAGCCUGACCCAGCAACGCCGCGUGGGCGAUGAAGGCCUUCGGGUCGUAAAGCCCUUUUGAGGGGGAAGAUGAUGACGGUACCCCUCGAAUAAGCCACGGCUAACUACGUGCCAGCAGCCGCGGUAAUACGUAGGUGGCAAGCGUUGUCCGGAUUUACUGGGCGUAAAGGGCGUGCAGGCGGUUUGUUAAGUCUAGGGUGAAAGCUCCCGGCUCAACUGGGAGAGGUCCUUGGAUACUGGCAGACUUGAGGAGAGUAGAGGAGAGUGGAAUUCCCGGUGUAGUGGUGAUAUGCGUAGAUAUCGGGAGGAACACCAGUGGCGAAGGCGGCUCUCUGGGCUCUACCUGACGCUGAGACGCGAAAGCGUGGGGAGCGAACCGGAUUAGAUACCCACGUAGUCCCUGAGCGGGCUGGCAAGGCGCAU
rnacentral:rRNA from 1 species